UACGAAGGGGGCUAGCGUUGUUCGGAAUUACUGGGCGUAAAGCGUGCGCAGGCGGCUUCUCAAGUCAGGGGUGAAAGCCCAGAGCUCAACUCUGGAAUUGCCUUUGAGACUGAGUGGCUUGAGUACGAGAGAGGUGAGUGGAAUUCCCAGUGUAGCAGUGAAAUGCGUAGAGAUGUGGAGGAACACCGAUGGCGAAGGCAGCCCCCUGGGCUGAGAUUGACGCUCAGGCACGAAAGCGUGGGGAGCAAACAG
rnacentral:rRNA from 1 species